rnacentral:rRNA from 1 species
AGCAGUCGCCACGGUAAUACGUAGGGUGCAAGCGUUAAUCGGAAUUACUGGGCGUAAAGCGUGCGCAGGCGGUUAUAUAAGACAGAUGUGAAAUCCCCGGGCUCAACCUGGGAACUGCAUUUGUGACUGUAUAGCUAGAGUACGGCAGAGGGGGAUGGAAUUCCGCGUGUAGCAGUGAAAUGCGUAGAUAUGCGGAGGAACACCGAUGGCGAAGGCAAUCCCCUGGGCCUGUACUGACGCUCAUGCACGAAAGCGUGGGGAGCAAACAGGAUUAGAUACCCGCGUAGUCCCUGUCUCUUAUAC